ACGGGUGAGUAAUGCCUAGGAAUCUGCCUGGUAGUGGGGGAUAACGUUCGGAAACGGACGCUAAUACCGCAUACGUCCUACGGGAGAAAGCAGGGGACCUUCGGGCCUUGCGCUAUCAGAUGAGCCUAGGUCGGAUUAGCUAGUUGGUGAGGUAAUGGCUCACCAAGGCGACGAUCCGUAACUGGUCUGAGAGGAUGAUCAGUCACACUGGAACUGAGACACGGUCCAGACUCCUACGGGAGGCAGCAGUGGGGAAUAUUGGACAAUGGGCGAAAGCCUGAUCCAGCCAUGCCGCGUGUGUGAAGAAGGUCUUCGGAUUGUAAAGCACUUUAAGUUGGGAGGAAGGGCAGUUACCUAAUACGUGAUUGUUUUGACGUUACCGACAGAAUAAGCACCGGCUAACUCUGUGCCAGCAGCCGCGGUAAUACAGAGGGUGCAAGCGUUAAUCGGAAUUACUGGGCGUAAAGCGCGCGUAGGUGGUUUGUUAAGUUGGAUGUGAAAUCCCCGGGCUCAACCUGGGAACUGCAUUCAAAACUGACUGACUAGAGUAUGGUAGAGGGUGGUGGAAUUUCCUGUGUAGCGGUGA
rnacentral:rRNA from 1 species